rnacentral:rRNA from 1 species
UACGUAGGGUGCGAGCGUUAUUCGGAAUUACUGGGCGUAAAGCGCGCGUAGGCGGUGUUGUACGUCUGACGUGAAAUCCCCGGGCUUAACCUGGGAACUGCAUUGGUGACUGCAUCGCUCGAGUAUGGCAGAGGGGGGUAGAAUUCCACGUGUAGCAGUGAAAUGCGUAGAGAUGUGGAGGAAUACCGAUGGCGAAGGCAGCCCCCUGGGUCAAUACUGACGCUCAUGCACGAAAGCGUGGGGAGCAAACAGG